rnacentral:rRNA from 1 species
GAUGAACGCUGGCGGCGUGCCUAAUACAUGCAAGUCGAGCGAACAGACGAGGAGCUUGCUCCUCUGAUGUUAGCGGCGGACGGGUGAGUAACACGUGGAUAACCUACCUAUAAGACUGGGAUAACUUCGGGAAACCGGAGCUAAUACCGGAUAACAUGUUGAACCGCAUGGUUCAACAGUGAAAGACGGUCUUGCUGUCACUUAUAGAUGGAUCCGCGCCGCAUUAGCUAGUUGGUAAGGUAACGGCUUACCAAGGCAACGAUGCGUAGCCGACCUGAGAGGGUGAUCGGCCACACUGGAACUGAGACACGGUCCAGACUCCUACGGGAGGCAGCAGUAGGGAAUCUUCCGCAAAGGGCGAAAGCCUGACGGAGCAACGCCGCGUGAGUGAAGAAGGUCUUCGGAUCGUAAAACUCUGUUAUUAGGGAAGAACAAAUGUGUAAGUAACUAUGCAGGUCUUGACGGUACCUAAUCAGAAAGCCACGGCUAACUACGUG